rnacentral:rRNA from 1 species
AAGUUACUUCGGUACAUCGGUGACAGGUAGUGCAUGGUUGUCGUCAGCUCGUGUCGUGAGAUGUUGGGUUAAGUCCCGCAACGAGCGCAACCCCUAUUGUUAGUUGCCAUCAUUCAGUUGGGCACUCUAGCGAGACUGCCGGUAAUAAACCGGAGGAAGGUGGGAUGACGUCAAAUCAUCAUGCCCCUUAUGACCUGGGCUACACACGUGCUACAAUGGUUGGUACAACGAGUUGCGAGUCGGUGACGGCGAGCUAAUCUCUUAAAGCCAAUCUCAGUUCGGAUUGUAGGCUGCAACUCGCCUACAUGAAGUCGGAAUCGCUAGUAAUCGCGGAUCAGCACGCCGCGGUGAAUACGUUCCCGGGCCUU